UACGUAGGGUGCAAGCGUUGUCCGGAUUUAUUGGGCGUAAAGAGCGUGUAGGCGGCCUGAAAGGUCAGCUGUGAAAACUCGAGGCUCAACCUCGAGACGUCGGUUGAAACCAUCUGGCUAGAGUCCGGAAGAGGAGAGUGGAAUUCCUGGUGUAGCGGUGAAAUGCGCAGAUAUCAGGAAGAACACCCGUGGCGAAGGCGGCUCUCUGGGACGGUACUGACGCUGAGACGCGAAAGCGUGGGGAGCGAACAGG
rnacentral:rRNA from 1 species